AAGACCUUGCGCUUUUGGAGCGGCCGAUGUCUGAUUAGCUAGUUGGUGGGGUAAUGGCCUACCAAAGCUUCGAUCAGUAGCUGGUCUGAGAGGACGGCCAGCCACACUGGGACUGAGACACGGCCCAGACUCCUACGGGAGGCAGCAGUGGGGAAUUUUGGACAAUGGGCGCAAGCCUGAUCCAGCCAUGCCGCGUGAGUGAAGAAGGCCUUCGGGUUGUAAAGCUCUUUCAGCCGGAACGAAGCGGUUACGGUUAAUACCCGUGACUACUGACGGUACCGGAAGAAGAAGCACCGGCUAACUACGUGCCAGCAGCCGCGGUAAUACGUAGGGUGCAAGCGUUAAUCGGAAUUACUGGGCGUAAAGCGUGCGCAGGUGGUUUUGUAAGUCAGAUGUGAAAUCCCCGGGCUUAACCUGGGAACU
rnacentral:rRNA from 1 species